rnacentral:rRNA from 1 species
GACGAACGCUGGCGGCGUGCCUAAUACAUGCAAGUCGAGCGAAGCGGCGGUUGGGGGAGUAACGCGUGGGUAACCUGCCUUUAAGUCGGGGAUAGUAUUUGGAAACAGAUGCUAAUACCGGAUCCUACAGGUUGUAGCUGCGUGGCAUUAGCUAGUUGGUAAGGUAACGGCCUACCAAGGCGAUGAUGCAUAGCCGGGUUGAGAGACUGAUCGGCCACAUUGGGACUGAGACACGGCCCAGACUCCUACGGGAGGCAGCAGUAGGGAAUCUUCCACAAUGGGCGAAAGUCUGAUGGAGCAACGCCGCGUGAGUGAAGAAGGUUUUCGGAUCGUAAAGCUCUGUUGUUGGUGAAGCGGUAAUCAACCAGAAAGUCACGGCUAACUACGUGCCAGCAGCCGCGGUAAUAC